rnacentral:rRNA from 1 species
GACGAGCCACCCGAACGUUAUUCGGAAUUACUGGGCUUAAAGGGUGCGUAGGCGGUGUAGCAAGUCGGGAGUGAAAUACCCCAGCUUAACUGAGGAAUUGCUUUCGAUACUGCUGCGCUUGAGUGAGACAGAGGUAAGCGGAACUUAGGGUGGAGCGGUGAAAUGCGUAGAUAUCCGGAGGAACACCGGUGGCGAAGGCGGCUUCCUGGGCCGACACUGACGCUGAGGCGCGAAAGCUAGGGGAGCAAACGGG